rnacentral:rRNA from 1 species
UUCCAAGCUCUCAUUGACAAGAUUAUUGCUCGGCUCGCAAGAUGGAAAGGGAAGCUCCUCAACAAGGCGGGCAGGCUAACUCUCAUCAACUCUGUUCUCACCUCUUUGACCACUUAUUUCUUCACUAUCUUCCCUCCUCCAAAGUGGCUCAUCAAGAGAAUGGACAAGAUUAGGAGAGGGUUCCUAUGGAAAGGAGAUGAAGAUGCAACUGGUGGAAACUGUGCUGUCAAUUGGAGACAAGUGUGCUCCCCAAAGAACUGUGGAGGGCUGGGCAUCAAGAAUCUGGAUCUCUUCAGUAGAGCCCUUAGGAUCAGAUGGUUGUGGUUUGCCUGGGAAAGGUCCUCCAGGCCAUGGAUUGGAUCCAACACACCAUGCAGCCCUACUGAUUACCAGUUGUUUAACGCAUCUACCACUGUCACCCUUGGCAACGGAGCAACAACAUCUUUCUGGUCCAACCGGUGGCUGAAUGGCUCUGCACCAAAAGAUAUUGCGCCCAACCUCUUU